GAAAAAUUUGGAUAGAACGAAGGAUUCAUCAUGAAUGAUAAACACCGCUUUUAUUAACGUUCUGCUGCUGUUAGCUGAGGAUUUUGCACAUUUAUAGUAUACACAAU